rnacentral:rRNA from 1 species
UACGGGGGGGGGCAAGCGUUGUUCGGAAUUACUGGGCGUAAAGGGCUCGUAGGCGGCCAACUAAGUCAUACGUGAAAUCCCUCGGCUUAACCGGGGAACUGCGUCUGAUACUGGAUGGCUUGAGUUCGGGAGAGGGAUGCGGAAUUCCAGGUGUAGCGGUGAAAUGCGUAGAUAUCUGGAGGAACACCGGUGGCGAAGGCGGCAUCCUGGACCGAUACUGACGCUGAGGAGCGAAAGCCAGGGGAGCAAA